UUACUUACCUGGCAGGGGAGACACCAUGAUCAGGCAGGUGGUUUUCCCAGGGCGAGGCUCAUCCCUUGCACUCCGGGUGUGCUGACCCCUGCGAUUUCUCCAAAUGCGGGAAACUUUUUGUUUUUUUUUUUUGACUUGCUAGCUGCUGAAUGCGCAUGGUAG
ensembl:snRNA U1 U1 spliceosomal RNA